rnacentral:lncRNA from 1 species
AAAAAUGUUUUUCUUUGAACUUUCCGUGGCAUUUCUUGUUAUUGAUUACAUCUGAAAAACGUUGAAAGAAGUAUGUGAAAGCAGCUAUUCUUUUCUUUGAACUUUCUGUUCACAUGUGCAUUAUACUACCACCAAUUACCCCACGUAUUCCACUAAAUUUCGUGCAGGUCUAUUUCUUGGUCCUCUUUAACUAAUAAUUGGUAGUAGUACUACUCUAUACUAUAUAUAUGAUGGGAGUAAUCCACUAGCUAUAACAUCCCUUUUCCAUUUCUGUGUAAAGGAAGAAGAAGAAGAAAGAAAAAUGGAAAAAGCUAUUGAAAGGCAGAGAGUUCUACUGGAGCACCUUCAGCCCAUUCGUUCUUCUUCUCACCAGUUUUCUUCUCUCACUGUAAGUUUUUUUUUCUUUUUCUUUCUCAUUUCUAUAAUUCCUAAAGAAUUGUUAUUGGAUUGAGAUGGACUUAAAUAGAGAGACACGGACGGUGAAGGUGAAGAUUCAUAUAGUUAAC